UACGUAGGGACCAAGCGUUGUUCGGAUUUACUGGGCGUAAAGGGCGCGUAGGCGGCGUGUUAAGUCACUUGUGAAAUCUCUAAGCUUAACUUAGAACGGUCAAGUGAUACUGAUGUGCUAGAGUGCAGAAGGGGCAACCGGAAUUCUUGGUGUAGCGGUGAAAUGCGUAGAUAUCAAGAGGAACACCUGAGGUGAAGACGGGUUGCUGGGCUGACACUGACGCUGAGGCGCGAAA
rnacentral:rRNA from 1 species